CACUAUGUAAGGAAACUGGAAUUGGCCGUGCUCAGAAUCUUUUGUUUUCGCAGGGUGCCCUUUGAGCGCUUUUCUUCCCCGCUGGCAUGUCCCCAUGACGCCCACUGAGUCGUCUACAGACCGGCAGCAAUGAGCAGGUUGCAGUGAGUGGUCCCCUCAGCGGAGAAGAUUGUUGGAUAACAAAAUUAAAAGAAGAAAAGAGCCGAAAAAAAUUAUUGCCGACUCCACCCAACCUAGCAGUCACCUAUUCACCAAAUUGCCAUCAGGGAGAUGCUACAAGUCCAUCACCAUCAGAACUAUAUGUCAUCUCUGAAGCUUCUUUCCUGUAGCUAUCCAAGCUUCUCAAAAUAACUCAGUCCAGGUGAAAUACCCUAACUGUCUCUGCACAACAUUUGUUAAAUGAUCUUUCCUGCUCUCCUUGUUUUGUUUAUUAUUAUUGAGUCUGUUGAUAUGUUUACAUUGAUUAUUGAUGCUUGCACAUGUGACUGUUCUACUAAAUGUUGAUUGCUCAUGGAUGUUUGCACUAUUGACUUGUAAAGUGUUGGUUACUAUUGCGUUGUCUGUUAUAGUAUGGUACUGUGUUUUAUGUUUGGCAGCAAACCACAAUCAAUUUUGGUAUGUUUCACAUACUAACAAUAAAGUGAUUCUGAUUCUCUUGGA